UACGGAGGGUGCAAACGUUGCUCGGAAUCAUUGGGCGUAAAGCGCACGUAGGCGGUCCAGCAAGUCGGGUGUGAAAGCCCUCGGCUUAACCGAGGAAGUGCAUUCGAAACUACUGGACUUGAGUACUGAAGAGGAUCGCGGAAUUCCCGGUGUAGAGGUGAAAUUCGUAGAUAUCGGGAGGAACACCAGUGGCGAAGGCGGCGAUCUGGGCAGAUACUGACGCUGAGGUGCGAAAGCGUGGGGAGCAAACAGGG
rnacentral:rRNA from 1 species